CGGAAUUGCUAGUAAUGGCAGGUCAGCAUACUGCCGUGAAUACGUUCCCGGGCCUUGUACACACCGCCCGUCACACCAUGAGAGUUGGAGAUACCCGAAGCCUAUGAGCUAACUUUUAGAGGCAGUAGUCGAAGGUAGAAUCAAUGAUUGGGGUGAAGUCGUAACAAGGUAGC
rnacentral:rRNA from 1 species